UACGAAGGGGGCUAGCGUUGCUCGGAAUCACUGGGCGUAAAGAGCUCGUAGGCGGUUUGGCAAGUCGGAUGUGAAAACUCCAGGCUCAACCUGGAGCCGCCAUUCGAGACUGCUAUGACUAGAGUCCGGUAGGGGAGUGUGGAAUUCCCGGUGUAGCGGUGAAAUGCGCAGAUAUCGGGAGGAACACCGAUGGCGAAGGCAGCACUCUGGGCCGGUACUGACGCUGAGGAGCGAAAGCGUGGGGAGCGAACAGG
rnacentral:rRNA from 1 species